rnacentral:misc_RNA from 1 species
GAUGAAGAACGUAGCGAAAUGCGAUAAGUAAUGUGAAUUGCAGAAUUCAGUGAAUCAUCGAAUCUUUGAACGCACAUUGCGCCCGCCAGUAUUCUGGCGGGCAUGCCUGUUCGAGCGUCAUUUCAACCAUCAAGCCCCAGGCUUGUGUUGGGGACCUGCGGCAGCCGCAGGCCCUGAAAACCAGUGGCGGGCUCGCUGUCACACCGGGCGUAGUAGAUUUUAUCUCGCUCAGGGCGUGCUGCGGGUCCCGGCCGUUAAAAGCCUUUUUUUACCCAAGGUUGACCUCGGAUCAGGUAGGAAGACCCGCUGAACUUAAGCAUAUCAAUAAGCGGAGGA